rnacentral:rRNA from 1 species
GAUCAUGGCUCAGGAUAAACGCUGGCGCCGUGCCUAAUACAUGCAAGUCGAACGAACUUCCGUUAAUUGAUUAUGACGUACUUGUACUGAUUGAGAUUUUAACACGAAGUGAGUGGCGAACGGGUGAGUAACACGUGGGUAACCUGCCCAGAAGUAGGGGAUAACACCUGGAAACAGAUGCUAAUACCGUAUAACAGAGAAAACCGCAUGGUUUUCUUUUAAAAGAUGGCUCUGCUAUCACUUCUGGAUGGACCCGCGGCGUAUUAGCUAGUUGGUGAGGUAAAGGCUCACCAAGGCAGUGAUACGUAGCCGACCUGAGAGGGUAAUCGGCCACAUUGGGACUGAGACACGGCCCAGACUCCUACGGGAGGCAGCAGUAGGGAAUCUUCCACAAUGGACGCAAGUCUGAUGGAGCAACGCCGCGUGAGUGAAGAAGGGUUUCGGCUCGUAAAGCUCUGUUGUUAAAGAAGAACGUGGGUAAGAGUAACUGUUUACCCAGUGACGGUAUUUAACCAGAAAGCCACGGCUAACUACGUGCCAGCAGCCGCGGUAAUACGUAGGUGGCAAGCGUUAUCCGGAUUUAUUGGGCGUAAAGCGAGCGCAGGCGGUCUUUUAAGUCUAAUGUGAAAGCCUUCGGCUCAACCGAAGAAGUGCAUUGGAAACUGGGAGACUUGAGUGCAGAAGAGGACAGUGGAACUCCAUGUGUAGCGGUGAAAUGCGUAGAUAUAUGGAAGAACACCAGUGGCGAAGGCGGCUGUCUGGUCUGCAACUGACGCUGAGGCUCGAAAGCAUGGGUAGCGAACAGGAUUAGAUACCCUGGUAGUCCAUGCCGUAAACGAUGAUUACUAAGUGUUGGAGGGUUUCCGCCCUUCAGUGCUGCAGCUAACGCAUUAAGUAAUCCGCCUGGGGAGUACGACCGCAAGGUUGAAACUCAAAAGAAUUGACGGGGGCCCGCACAAGCGGUGGAGCAUGUGGUUUAAUUCGAAGCUACGCGAAGAACCUUACCAGGUCUUGACAUCUUCUGACAGUCUAAGAGAUUAGAGGUUCCCUUCGGGGACAGAAUGACAGGUGGUGCAUGGUUGUCGUCAGCUCGUGUCGUGAGAUG